GCCUUGAGAAAGCCAGAGAGGGUCUUGAACGAGCUCAUGGAAAGGACUCUUCUCAUGUUAGACUCCUUCAGGCAGAUAUUUGAUACUGGAGCUGCUGGAAGGGGUGGCGGCGUAUCACAGUGGUCAGGUUGAUAAGUCAAUGACGGUGUUGACUUCUGCACAAGAGAAGUUCACCCAGGUGCUGGAUGAAUUUUUGGUUGUGGAUUCCAGCUUCAGGUGCUGGAUGAAUCUCUCUUUCUUGUGAUGAUCAUGGGCUUCAGAGAA
rnacentral:lncRNA from 1 species